UUGGAACAUAAUUGAAAUUGUAGUUUUCAUUUUGUUAAACGCUCAGGCAAUGAACUAGCACAUGCCCUUGUUUCGACUCUAUGUCAUAGUGGUGGUGAUGGUUCUGUCCUCCCAUCCUCUCUUGCCAAUUUGGCUUAAUAAAAUUCCGUUUUGUCAAAAAAAAACAUAAUUGAAUUAAUUUUACUAGCAAAAAUAUUAUUUUUCUUUCAAAAAAUAAUUUCGAUCCGAUCUGUCCGAUUGUAACCCCACCCCCCAUUCAAACCAUUUCAAAUUUGCACACCUGCCGUUUUUUUAACAAAAGUUCCACAUAGGGAGAGAGUUUUAGGAACAACACUAAAUGCCCGCUCUCUUUCUCAGCUAAACUAGAGAGAGAGAGAGAGAGAGAGAGAGAGAGAGAGAGAGAGAGAGAGAUGGGAAGUUGUCAAACGAAAGAAAAGAGCAGCAGCACCACCACCAGGCGUAGCGGCGGUGAAACGGCGGCGGUGGACCGGUGGUGAUGGGGCUCAAGAACAAAGUAGUUCUUCUUCAACAAGAUAUAAACGAGAUAAUGUGCAUACGAGAGACCGGAAACCAAAUGUACGAGCGAGAACUAAUGCCUUUCGCCUUCAAACAAGCGCACCAAACUCCGCAACACUUUAGCACACAAAGAAGAAACCCUAAUUAAUAUUACGUACUGCAUAAAUAAUAAUGAUAAUAAUUUGGAGGACCAAACAGCAAUUAGGAGAGAUGAGACUGUGGACAAGUGGAAGAAGCUCUAUUUUGCCAUCAAGAAUGAGCUUGAUCAUCUCAUUAUUCAGACCACACAUCAAGCUCUUGGGCGAAGACGUUUGAACAAGUCGAAGAUGCAGAUUUAGCUUGCGUGGAUGCAAUGGUUCCGUUUCUGGAGAGUAUCUGAGUAUGCAUUCUUAAUCUAUAUAUUUCAAUUUUUAUUUUUUUUUGAUUUCGUUACGUUUUACUUAAGUUCGUUUUCAUAUAUUAAGUUCACCAAAGCCAUAUAUAUUAUUUUUCAUCGCUCAA